UACGGAGGGUGCAAGCGUUAUCCGGAUUCACUGGGUUUAAAGGGUGCGUAGGAGGGCAGGUAAGUCAGUGGUGAAAUCUUCGAGCUUAACUCGGAAACUGCCGUUGAUACUAUCAUUCUUGAAUAUUGUGGAGGUAAGCGGAAUAUGUCAUGUAGCGGUGAAAUGCUUAGAUAUGACAUAGAACACCGAUAGCGAAGGCAGCUUGCUACACAAUUAUUGACACUGAGGCUCGAAAAGCGUGGGGAUCAAACAGG
rnacentral:rRNA from 1 species